rnacentral:miRNA from 1 species
UGAGGCAGGAGAAUUGCUUGAACCCAGGAGGUGGAGGUUGCAGUGAGCUGAGAUUUUGCCACUGUACUCCAGCCUGGGUGACACAGUGAGACUCCGUCUC